CGGGGUGCACCAGGCGCGAAAACUUUACAAUGCGGGAAACCGUGAUAAGGGAACCCCGAGUGCCCGUAAAAUCGGGCUGUCCAUCUGUUUAAAUAACAGGUGAAGAAAGGGCCGGGCAAGACCGGUGCCAGCCGCCGCGGUAAUACCGGCGGCUCGAGUGGUGGCCACUAUUACUGGGCUUAAAGCGUUCGUAGCUGGUCUGUUAAGUCUCUGGGGAAAUCUACUGGCUUAACCAAUAGGCGUUUCAGGGAUACUGGCAGACUAGGGACCGGGAGAGGUGAGGGGUACUCCAGGGGUAGGAGUGAAAUCCUGUAAUCCUUGGGGGACCACCUGUGGCGAAGGCGCCUCACCAGAACGGCUCCGACAGUGAGGGACGAAAGCUGGGGGAGCAAACCGGAUUAGAUACCCGGGUAGUCCCAGCCGUAAACGAUGCGCGUUAGGUGUAUCGGUGACCACGAGUCACCGAGGUGCCGAAGAGAAAUCGUGAAACGUGCCGCCUGGGAAGUACGGUCGCAAGGCUGAAACUUAAAGGAAUUGGCGGGGGAGCACAAGGGCGAUUCGCG
rnacentral:rRNA from 1 species